rnacentral:rRNA from 1 species
GACGAACGCUGGCGGCGUGCCUAAUACAUGCAAGUCGAGCGGAGCGGCGGACGGGUGAGUAAUGCCUAGGAAUCUGCCUGGUAGUGGGGGAUAACGUCCGGAAACUGGCGCUAAUACCGCAUACUCUAAGAUGAGCCUAGGUCGGAUGAGCUAGUUGGUGGGGUAAAGGCCUACCAAGGCGACGAUCCGUAACUGGUCUGAGAGGAUGAUCAGUCACCAUGGAACUGGGACACGGUCCAGAUUCCUACGGGAGGCAGCAGUGGGGAAUAUUGGACAAUGGGCGAAAGCCUUAUCCAGCCAUGCCGCGUGGGUGAAGAAGGUCUUCGGAUUGUAAAGCACUUUAAGUUGGGAGGCGUUACCAACAGAAUAAGCACCGGCUAACUUCGUGCCAGCAGCCGCGGUAAUAC